rnacentral:tRNA from 1 species
GUGUUAUGCUUGUAGUGCUAGUGGUAAAAGGCAGCACUCUAGAUGCUGAGGUUGUGGGUUCAAAUCCCACAAGACACA